GUACUACUCCCUCCGUCCGAAAAUACUUGUCAUCAAAAUGGAUAAAAAGGGAUGUAUCUAGAACUAAAAUACGUCUAGAUACAUCUCCUUUUAUUCAUUUUAAUGACAAGUAUUUCCGGACGGAGGGAGUACUUG
rnacentral:pre_miRNA from 1 species